CAGGGAGACAACAAAAUGUUUAAUAUUAUUUUGUCACCUUAGGUCGAUCGGUAUCUCACGUUUUUAAUUUAUUAAGAAUUUCAUUUCCUAAGUUUUUCUAGGUCACACCCAUUAUUUUUCCUGGGCCAUUAGCUCAGGUGGUUAGAGCGCACCCCUGAUAAGGGUGAGGUCCCUGGUUCAAGUCCAGGAUGGCCCAUAUCUCUAUGUUGGGGGUAUAGCUCAGUUGGUAGAGCGCCUGCUUUGCAAGCAGGAUGUCAGCGGUUCGAGUCCGCUUACCUCCACUGAUUACCACCUCUUCCAUAACCGGUAUAAAGGAAAUGUUUUGAGUUGUGAUCAAAUUCUGAAAGAAUCUAGCUUCCUAAUGAAAUCAUUAAGAUGCUGGACUCAUUGAAUUUAUUUCAUUGUUUUCAGAGAACCUUGACAAUUGCAUAGAUUAUUUUUAAAGACAAUAAGCAUUUUUAAUAAUGCAGAUUUAUUAUUAUUGCGAAUGCAUUAAUAACAAUUCUAUUAAGCUGAUGCUUCAAUUUUUGAAGUUAUU
rnacentral:tRNA from 1 species